AUUGAACGCUGGCGGCAGGCCUAACACAUGCAAGUCGAGCGGAUGAAGGGAGCUUGCUCCUGGAUUCAGCGGCGGACGGGUGAGUAAUGCCUAGGAAUCUGCCUGAUAGUGGGGGAUAACGUCCGGAAACGGGCGCUAAUCCCGCAUACGUCCUGAGGGAGAAAGUGGGGGAUCUUCGGACCUCACGCUAUCAGAUGAGCCUAGGUCGGAUUAGCUAGUUGGUGGGGUAAAGGCCUACCAAGGCGACGAUCCGUGACUGGUCUGAGAGGAUGAUCAGUCACACUGGAACUGAGACACGGUCCAGACUCCUACGGGAGGCAGCAGUGGGGAAUAUUGGACAAUGGGCGAAAGCCUGAUCCAGCCAUGCCGCGUGUGUGAAGAAGGUCUUCGGAUUGUAAAGCACUUUAAGUUGGGAGGAAGGGAAGUAAGUUAAUACCUUGCUGUUUCGACGUUACCAACAGAAUAAGCACCGGCUAACUUCGUG
rnacentral:rRNA from 1 species